UCUCCACCGCGAAUAUUUUUGAAAUAUUUCUAAAAUUAGAGUAAGUUUCCUUCACUGCCUCCCAUAUUUAUUGAGUCAUUUCAUAUAGGAGAAAGUUUUCACCAAUAUCCACGUUCAUAGAGUUUAUGAGACAUGACAUGAUUUGAUGAUUAUCGGCCUUUCAAUUCUUGCAGUUUAGAUCAGUUUUCUCAGGAAUUGGAACUUCUCCAAUCAAGUAAUCUUCUUUUCCUCUACCACACAUGAACAUUUAGACAGAUUGGAACCAUUAGAGAUAGUUUUGUCCAUUGAGUUUAUGACUUGUGAUGAGAAGAAACAGAUUCUCAGAUGUUCUAGAAUUUCCAAAAUUGGGUUGGACUAGAUUUUAGUUGGAAUGAGAAGAUGUCUCAGAGACAGAGCUGACUACUUUAUUCGCCAUUCCAGAUUUUGUUUUUCAAAUAGAAGAAAAAAUUAAGAUUGUUGGAAAAAUUUUAAGAAUUUUGGGAUGAGAGGGCGACGGUUAGGGUUUUUUUUCUUUUCAAAUUAUGUUAAUAUUACUUUAUUUUCUUUUCAAGCAAUAUAUGAUUCGGCUGUUAUGUGUUUUUUUUCUAAAUAUGUUAAUGCCCACCAUAUUUUUACUACAAACUAGGUUGAAAUGUGUGAAAAGCUCUUAUUUAAGCACUUUUGUAAUGGUUAGGCCCUUAUAUAACAAUUUUGAAAAUUUUGACCCUUAUGUAAGCAAUCCCUAAAAAAUUCCCAAAUAUAAGCAUUUAGCCUACUAUCUACUUACUUUUAAAGUGCAAUAAAUUGGAGGAAUAAUUCAUGUAACAUCCCUAAUAGCCCUGAGUCAAUAACCAUGUUAAAUCGAGAGGAAAUGUGUUAGAAUUUGAUAAGGUUAUAAAAUAGAAAUUAUCAUUAUUAGUUAAAGGUGAAGGUAGAUACUAAUGGUAAUUAAAAAGGCUUGUUUAUUGUGAGAAAUAAAUUCAGGAUAUUGACUAAAUUGUAAGAGAAUGAAAAGUAUUGGGGCAAGAGUAAGGAAAUUAAGAGUUAGAAUGAGUAGAUUGAGUUGAAAGAAAAAAUAGGAGGGGCUAGAGGUGGAAUUUUACCAAAAGAAAAUAUGGCUCAGAAUGGUAUUGUUGAAGAAGUUGAGGGACUAAGUGGGUAAUAUGUAAUUUAGAUAAUUAUGCAUGUUAAUGAUUAAGGACUAAAUUGGUAUAAAAGUAUGAUUGGUAAAUAUUUAUUAUUUUAAUUAUUAAAAUUACUAGAUUUUUAUUUUAGAAUUGUUUAGAAAAAUGAUGAUAUUCAUUCAUCUUUCCCCCAUUCUCAAGCCCCUCUCUCUUUUCUCCAUCUUUAAAAUUUUUAUAUUAUUUAUAAAUAGGUCCUUUUCACAGUUUCCAAGCUUUCCAAGUUUACUUGCCCCAAUUUUUUUCAUGAAUAAUUAGUGAAAUCAAUAGAGAAGCCUAGUAGCUAUCUUAGUUUCAUGAGAAGUGCAUCCAUUGUUAUCUUGGAGGAGAGAGAAAAUAAAAAUUAGGAUUUGACCAUAAGAAAUGAAGGUAAGUAUGAUAUGUUUUUCCAUGGAUUUCAUGUUAGUUUUAUUUAAAUAACAUAGAUAUGUUACUUGAUUAUAAUAUUGAUAAGUAAAACUUGUAUAUUUUUAUAUGGAAAUGAAGAAAAAGAGAAAUGAACAACAAGUUGGGGACAAAGGCAAAGAGAUAGCCAAAGAGUAGAAGAAGAAGAAGAAAGCUUGAUUCCAAGUCUUUGGUUGUAAGUAUAACUAGAAUUUUUCUUAGCUUAAAUAAUUUUAAUUAGUAAGUUUAAUUAGAUGUUUAAAUGUUUACAUGAUUUUUAUUAUUAACUAUUAUGCUAUACAUAAAUAAGAAGUUGAUUAAGAAUGAUGGAAUUAAUUAUUUAAUUCCAUUUACUAAGUGAUUUGUUAUAAUGAAAUGAAGAAUAGUGAGGAAAAAGGCUAAAUUGUAAAAAAUAUAAAAGUUGAUAGAAAAGAUAAAUAUUAUGAUUGAAUGUAUAAAUGAAGUGAUAUGCAUAUAUGCAUAUAUAUACACAUUUUUUAAUGAUGUAUGGAAAGAUAUUGAAAUGCUAUGACAAUGAUUGUUGAGCUUUAAAACAAUAGGGGCUAAGUUGUAAAGUAUGUAAGUUUAAUUUUGAAAUGUAAAGGUGAAUAUGAUUCUGUUAUAUUUGCCCAUGUAGACAAGAUAUGAACUAGUAGGAUAGAUGGCAUGCCUUUAGGAAGCAUUCAGUGCACUCCUUAUUCUGCGAUUGCACUUCGGUGCCACUCUGUUCUAAUUAAACACUUUAGUGUUAUUCUAUUCUGACAUUGCACUUCGGUGCUAUUCUUUUCUAUUACUGCACUUUGGUGCAUCUCUAUAUUACUUCCGCAUAUCUUGCAUAUUCUUUUAAGUCUACAUGGAGCGUCCAAUAAAUUCUAAAAGAUAAAAUAAAGUUACGAAUAUUGUGACAAGAUUAAGUAGAAUGAUAGUGAAUCCAAGUAUAAUAAAUUAAAUAUAGUAUAGAAAUUCUAUUGCUAAUAAGUUCUAAACUUAUUUAUUACAACAUUUUUGUAUUUUUUUACCUUUAAUUAAUGAAAAUGUAAGUUUAAUUCUCGUUGUACUUACUAAGCUUUCACAAGCUUACUGCAUUAUUUUUAAUGCGUAGGUAAAGGCGUGAAGUGAGGUUUUGUGGAGGAUCAAAUUCUUCACAUCUCAUCACAUCCCAAGAGCUUGGAGAAGAGUAUGUUAUCUCCACUAUUCUGUUAUAUGUCAUGUACCUAGGUGAAUGUUUGUGUAAUUAAACAAGGAACUAAUUGAUUCCCCAAACUUGUGUUUGAUGUGUUUUGAUGAGUAAAUAUAAGGAAUUAUUUGGUAUAUGAGUUAUGUUUUAUGGUUGGAAUGAUUAUGAAUGAUUAUG
rnacentral:lncRNA from 1 species